GUGUCAGCCGCCGCGGUAAUACAGGGGGGGCAAGCGUUGUUCGGAAUUACUGGGCGUAAAGGGCUAGUAGGCGGCCUGCUAAGUCCGACGUGAAAUCCCCAGGCUUAACCUGGGAACUGCGUCGGAUACUGGCGGGCUUGAAUCCGGGAGAGGGAUGCGGAAUUCCAGGUGUAGCGGUGAAAUGCGUAGAUAUCUGGAGGAACACCGGUGGCGAAGGCGGCAUCCUGGACCGGCAUUGACGCUGAUCAGCGAAAGCCAGGGGAGCAAACGGGAUUAGAUACCCCAGUAGUCC
rnacentral:rRNA from 1 species